rnacentral:rRNA from 1 species
AACGAACGCUGGCGGCAGGCCUAACACAUGCAAGUCGAGCGCCCCGCAAGGGGAGCGGCGGACGGGUGAGUAACGCGUGGGAACGUGCCCUUUGCUACGGAAUAGCCCCGGGAAACUGGGAGUAAUACCGUAUAAGCCCUACGGGGGAAAGAUUUAUCGGCAAAGGAUCGGCCCGCGGUGGAUUAGGUAGUUGGGGGGGUAAUGGCCUACCAAGCCGACGAUCCAUAGCUGGUUUGAGAGGAUGAUCAGCCACACUGGGACUGAGACACGGCCCAGACUCCUACGGGAGGCAGCAGUGGGGAAUCUUAGACAAUGGGCGCAAGCCUGAUCUAGCCAUGCCGCGUGAGCGAUGAAGGCCUUAGGGUUGUAAAGCUCUUUUACCAGGGAUGAUAAUGACAGUACCUGGAGAAUAAGCUCCGGCUAACUCCGUGCCAGCAGCCGCCGUAA